rnacentral:rRNA from 1 species
GAGUUUGAUCCUGGCUCAGGAUGAACGCUGGCGGUCUGCUUAACACAUGCAAGUCGAACGGGUCCUUUCGGGGAUUAGUGGCGGACGGGUGAGUAACGCGUGAGAAUCUGCCUUCAGGUUCGGGACAACAGCUGGAAACGGCUGCUAAUACCGGAUGUGCCGAGAGGUGAAAGCUUAAGUGCCUGGAGAUGAGCUCGCGUCUGAUUAGCUAGUAGGAGUGGUAAUGGCACCCCUAGGCGACGAUCAGUAGCUGGUCUGAGAGGAUGAUCAGCCACACUGGGACUGAGACACGGCCCAGACUCCUACGGGAGGCAGCAGUGGGGAAUUUUCCGCAAUGGGCGCAAGCCUGACGGAGCAAGACCGCGUGAGGGAAGAAGGUCUGUGGAUUGUAAACCUCUUUUGAUCGGGAAGAAGACAGUGACGGUACCGAUCGAAUCAGCCUCGGCUAACUCCGUGCCAGCAGCCGCGGUAAUACGGAGGAGGCAAGCGUUAUCCGGAAUUAUUGGGCGUAAAGCGUCCGUAGGUGGGUAACCAAGUCAGUUGUUAAAUAGCGAAGCUUAACUUCAUAGAGGCGACUGAAACUGGUUAUCUAGAGUGUGGUAGGGGUAGAGGGAAUUUCCAGUGUAGCGGUGAAAUGCGUAGAUAUUGGAAAGAACACCGGUGGCGAAAGCGCUCUACUGGGCCUGCACUGACACUGAGGGACGAAAGCUAGGGGAGCGAAAGGGAUUAGAUACCCCUGUAGUCCU